UCCCUGGGUUCAAUCCACAGUAUCAAGGAAAAAGAAAGCAUGUCAUAACCCUCUGUAGCUAGAACAAAGGGUAGCAAAAAGCUAGAUGACCUUGUCCCUGACCGAGGAUGCCCAUGAAGCACCCCAACAUUGGGCUGGGAAUUUGGCAGUUCAAAGAGUUCAGGCUGACUGAUACACUCCUAUUUUCCUUACUUCUAGGCUCUAUUGUAGGGGAACUGAGGCAGAGAGGCAUGGCCAUCACACAAUAAGAGGUGUGGACCUAGAAAUCCCCACACCCAGCCCACUUCUUGGACCAGAAUUACAAGCCUCCCUUGGUGGCAGGCACGGUGACACAAACAGACAAUGAGCCAGACAGCAGGGCCAGCACGACCCCCACAAGAAACAGUCACUCAUAGACACUCUCACUUGCACACCCAGGUGCAACCAGACAGAAGGGCCCAGCGGUGGCCCUGCCAGGCUGGACCAGGAACAAUGCUCUCCGACUGUCAGCACCAGGAACCAUCCCAGCCUUGAAAUCUAGGUCACAGCAGCAGGCUCUGGAGCCCAGCCCCGCCUCCACUGAUAAUCCCAGGGCAGAAAAGGGUGUAGAUGGGAGGGUUAUGAUGGGAAGGGGGUCUAGAGAUAAGGAUAGGGACUGGGGGAUGGGGCAUGCUGGUUGGGAAAGCGCAGCAUGAGAAAGAGACCAGAACUUGCCCCAGUGGGUGAGACCCUGCCACCAAACCCUCAGCUUCAGUUAGGAAAGGGGGUAGCAUUAGGGUCAAAACAGGCUUGGUUUCACAUGGAAGAAGAGUUUGUAAAUAUGGUAGAUCCUGUGGGAGGAAUGUGUGUGCGCGCGCGCACGUGUGUGUGUGUGUGUGUGUGUGUGUGUGUGUGAGAGAGAGAGAGAGAGAGAGAGAGAGAGAGAGAAUAUCUCGGGAAGAAUUGAGAUUUAGGGCUCAAUCUAAAACACAGAUCUAUAAGGAGGUGGGUGAAACAGGAUUAGUGUGUGUGACACCCCCACCCACAAGGCUGGGGGCAGUGGGUAGGAGCUUUCGAAGAGUGAAACAGAUACAAGGCCCCUAAGAGGAAUGGGGGUGGGAAUGUAAAGUGGCUAAGGGGGUGACGUGUAUGUGCCAGAUUCUAUGUAUGUGUGGAUGCUGAUCCCUGGGUGUGUGUACAGGUGUGUGGAGGAGGCAGUGGGUGUGUUUGGAUGUUCUCGUAACUGGCUGUGAGUGUGUGUGGGAUGUGUGUUUGUAUGUGUCUGAACCAGCUGAGUGUGUGUAAGAAAGUACAUAACCACAGGCUCCCAUCCAGAGGGUGAGGGGAGCCUACAGAACGGAGGAAGAGAGCAGGAGCCGGGAAAGGGAGAGACUGAGGCUGCGAAUGAGGAAUCCUAGGGGAAAGUGGGGGGAUGGAGCUCAGAGUCCACAAGGCUGCAGCCUCAGCUCAGCCGUUAGCACAGCAACCUCGGUUCUGCCCCUGCCCCCCGAAUCAUCAGGACAAUGAUACCACUGGACGGAAGGAGAGUGAAGAGUGGGCAGUAAGGGACAACAGGAUAAGAACAGGGCCCCCUAAGGGAGUAAAGAAAGGCCAUGGUUACCUGCCUUUCUAGAUCCCAUUUGCCCGUGCCUAGGUGUGGCAGCAGAGGCAAGGGCAGAAUAGAUUGGGGGGAGGUAUUUGGGGGCGGUGGGAAGAUGGAAUCUCAAGACUCACUGAUCAACUAUUGUCCCUGGCCGGUCUGGCAGUGGUGGGACUUGGCAGAGCCUGGCUCCUUCAUCCUCGGUUGACUCUUUCCUCAUCAGAGAUUUAGAACUACUUAGGGCCCACGGAGAAGUUUUCUGUCCUCCUUGCUCUGAAAAAUCCUUCUGAUCUCUGGAGCAGUGUAGAGGGCUGCCCAGGGAACACCAGGCAGCCUGGGCGGAGGCCAUUCUGAGGACAGGAUACCAGCGCAGGAACUGGGAACCGGAGCUGAGGCUGCCAGGAAGUCGGUCCCCUUCCCUCCCAGCUCAUUCUGUGUGCUGCUCACCGCUUCCUCAUACCUUCCUUCCUUCCUCCCUCUCCUAAACUAGCUCCAGGUGGAGCCCUGACAAAGGUAGAACCAACUGACAAAGAUGAUGCUGAGAAACAGAAAGAGGCAGGAGGCGAAGAUGAGAAUGCUGUAGGGGAGGGCGCAGAACCACCAGGCCAACCUGUGGAGGGCAAGAUUUGGUCAAUGUGGCUGACGUUACAGAGGCCGGAAAAGAACACGCUCAGAGACAACACGUGGGAGUCGCGUGUUCCAUGUCCGUGCUCACGUGUGGCUGAGAGUGUGCCGGAGACAGUCUGUAUUGGGAUGAUCUCUCUCAUCCCCAAUCUCUUCCCUGUUCAUCCCUCACACUACCACCUGAAACUCUCGACUAUGGCAACUCAAGAACAAAGACGUCCCAUGCACUCAAAUGUCUUUCAAGGUUCUUCGCACCUAAAUGGGCUUUAUGGCAGUACAGAGAGUUGGGGAACCUGUUCCUUCAAACCAGUCAGGAUAGUGUGCAUAGAAUCCAGACCCAACUAGGAGAAUCAUGAAUCGAUAAAAAUGUUCCCAGGGAAUGAAAGACUUCACCACAAUAUUGGGGACGCGAUGGCCCACCUGAUGCUGCAGCAGUCAUGGAGUGAAUGGAGAGAUCGAUGGCUAAGGAAACCCAACACCUUGCAAGCACCACCUUAUUCUACAGUGGGAAACCUCGUAGCGGACCCAGGUACUUCCACGUCACAGCCGCGAGUGACUCCCACGUGACUUUCACCCAGCAGCAGCAGCCUUUGCUACUUCCUCUGCUCGUGAUGCUGAUUCUCCUGAGCCAUUCCGCUGCUCAGAGGUGAAGUGGAAGGCCAAGGCCAAGCUCCCGGCCGUGCCUCCCUCACCCGUCCUUCACCACCAUUCUCCUACCUUGGUUGGUUCUGUACCUGGUACUUGUUGGUAGAAUUAAAGGGAAUCUCUGCUA